rnacentral:antisense_RNA from 1 species
UUUAAUUUAGAAUAAAUCUAUUAAAAAUCAAUCUGCAAAAUUUACAAGUUUACGUAUAAAAGUUAAUUUUAGUCGCAAUAGAAAAGGCAUUCUUUUUUAGAGGGAUGCUCUUUGCACUCUGCAGCCCAAUAGUCU